GUUUUUUUUGUGAAAUCGACUCCUGGUAUUUUAAUAAAUUUUAGAUUUCCAGCAUCACUACUAAAGUGAAGACAUACAAACAAGAGUCACAAGUCCAGUGCCAAAUAUUUCAUGAAUUAUUUGAACGAUAUCAUAUUAACAAUAAAUACUUUACAUAAGUUUUAUUAUCAUACCGGGGAUUUAGGAACGGGCCUAAAUUUGUUUACGAUUAUUCGUGAUAAACAUUUGUUAAACUUAAAAAUAAAGACCGAAUUUUUUUUAUAACUUCAUUAAGAAACUAUUUGAUUCUCUCAAAAAAUGGAAAAAAAAGCUCUAAAAAUUAUAAACUGGUAGUAAGGUUUUAUAUUAUGAACUUUUAGUUUCGAGCAUCACUUAAAUACACGCAAACAAGAGAAACUACGUCCAGUGGCAAAUAUUUCAUGCAUGAACAGGACGACAACAUACUUUGGAUAAGUUAUAUAAUGAGAUGCGGAAGAAUAUUUGCCGGAACUCUUGGAUUGUACAUUAAUUAUUCCGGGAAUUUGGGAUUAGGCCUAAAUGAAUUGUGUACAGUUAUUAAAAAUUUACACUUUACGGUUAUUAGGAAUCUACACUAAUCGUAACUCGAAAUUAAAUUAUAUUUUUUUCUGGAGCGGAAAAGGACAGUUUUAUUUUUACGGAAUAUCAGUGUUUUAUCUUUUAGUUCCCUUUAUAUUAUAGGACAAGUUUGGGGGAUUGGGCACGUUUGGGUGUUUAUUAAAAAAUGGACACGUUUAGGCGUUUAAACAAUACAAAUGACACGCCGC
rnacentral:lncRNA from 1 species